AUGUAAGACAAUCUGUCUUUAAUUAGGGAUAAUUUACUCUAAAAUUAAUACUGGGUAGUUUUUCCUUAACGACAAGUGUCUUAC
rnacentral:pre_miRNA from 1 species